UUUUCCCAACCCCCUUUAAUGGACAACAACUUCCAAUGCCAUAUAUUAAAUUUAUUUUAAUAAUAAAAUAUUUUCUCUCCCUAUAAAAACUAUUCUAAUUAUUAAGAAUAUCUUUUUAGUUGGGAUUGUCAUAUAUAUCCAGAUUUUCUAUAUUUGUUAUGUCAUAUAUAUCAAAGGGAAAAUUUUUAAUAGAUAUUCAACAACUUCCAAUGCAUAAUAAUAAUUUUUCUCUCUCUCUAAUUCAAAUAAAAGAUUUGAACCGAAACAACUUCCAAUGCAUUAAUAAUAUAUUUUCUCUCUCUAAAACAACUUUUCCAAAAUUAUUUUUUCAGAAUAUCUUUUUUUAAUUUUCAACUCUUAAUCUUCCACGAUUUUUGUUUGGAUUGCAGGUUAUCUAACUAAAAUUAUUCUACGGACACAACAUAUUCAUAUAUCAUCAAAUCCCCAGAUUCGCGCUUCAAAUUUUUCAAAUCCGAAUUUUUCUACUUCAUUCUCAAGUAAUUCCGUUUGAAAGUUUGUUUGGAGAUUCAUAUUGUGUUGGUUAUUUGAUGUUAUUCAUAUUACUUUUUGAUUACUUACUUAUUUUUUUUUAAUUUUCGAUCUUUUGUUGUUGUUCUUAAAUUAUUUUUUAGGGUUUCGUAAUACCAAAUUCAAUAUUCAAUGGAUGCAUUCAAAAGAGUGACUAGAGGUAUUGUAAAAAAAAUACACAGUUAUUCCGAGUUUCAUAGUUUUUUUCACUCAAUAAAUAAACAACAAUGUAGGUUCAUCAUCUAAGUCUAAGGAGUGUGCAAAAAUGGCUGAAGAGGUGCAACAUCCCACAGUUCAUGAAGUUGAAUUAGAACAAUUUUUGGGAGAACAGGUAAUUUUUUUUUUGCAUGUGUUGUUUAUUGGAUGUUUAGUUUAUUUUGUUUAGUAAUUUUUAAGAUUGAAAAAAAUACAUUUUACAAUGAAUUUGAAAGUGUAUUUGAAUUGUUUAGUCCGUUAUAGUCUCUAUGUAUUUUUGUAUUGGAAAGUUUUUUUGACUAUUUAUGUAUUGUAUUUUGCAUUCUGUUCAUAUUUUUUGUAUUAGUUGUCAAUGCAAUAAAUAAUUUUUUUUGACUAUUUAUGUAUUAUAUUUUGUAUUCUGUUCAUCUUUUUUGUCUUAGUUGUCAAUGUAAUAUCGUAUACAUUUGUAAGUGUGUUUUGAAUUUUCAUCUUGUUAUAGUUACUUUUUUUCAUAGUUGUAAUGUUUUUUGUAUUCACUAUUAUAGUUGGCACGUAUUUCUGUAUUUAGUAUGUUUAUUGUUUUUUUUGUCAAUGUUACAUAUUUUAUAAGUUUGUAGUUCAUAAAUUUAUUGUAGUUUUUGUAUAUAUGUAAUGGGAGUUGUAUAUUGUAUUCUUUAUUCCACUGUAUAUACAAAAAAAUUCGUUUUAUAUUCUUUUUUUUUGUGUUAGGUUAAUGUACCACAUAUUUGUUACCAUAUCUGUUUUUUUUUGUAUGUUGUGCUAAAUGUGUUGAUUUUUUAUUUAUUAUCAUGUUUUUUUGUUCUGUUAUUUUAGUAUUAUUUCAUUUUUUGGAAUUCAAUAUGCCAGGGGACUUCUUAUGCUUGCAAAAAGCUACCAAAAAAGGCACCCCACAUUCACUGUAUAGUAAGUCAUGACAUUAAAUCCAAGUUGACUGACAAGCUUACACCGGAGCAAUAUAAUUUAUUUUGUGAGAGUACGUGUUUUGGUCAGUAUAUGAAAAUUAGAAAAUGUGUUGGGCAAGGUCAAAUUCACAGGUGCUGUAUGUCACGAGAAGUGGAAGGUAGUAGUAAGCAGGCUCUUUUAAUCAAAGUAAAUGGAGUUAUUUUAAAGUUCACAAUUAGGACGUUUGCUCUUAUUACUGGAUUAAACUGUGUUGGUGUUGUAGAGGAUUUCAAGUUUAACACAGAAGAACCUAACCGACUUAUUGUUCAGUACUUUUGUGGUGAUGAGACCAUACGUAGAUCUGAUUUGUUCGAUAGGUUCAAUGAUAAAGUUUGGGUUGACAAUGAUGAUGAUGCCAUUAAGUUUGCAAUAUUAUAUUUCAUUCAUAUGUUUGUGUAUUCUGGCGAGAAGAGAUCAUUGCGAAUUCCUAGAAUUCAUUUUGAUUUGGUUGAAAGUGGUCGGUAUAUGCAUUAUCCUUGAGGCAUAAAAGCAUUUGAGUGGUUGCUACAGAGUAUCAACAAGGUUUUGACUACUGAUGGUCAAUAUUAUAGAAUAUGUGGUAUGCCUGUUGUCCUUCAAAUAUGGAUAUACGAGUGCAUGGGUAAGCGUCAGACCAAUUUUGCACGGAAAAUCAGUGAUCGUAUCCCCCGUAUUCUAAACUGGCAAACAGUAGGAGCACAACCCCGAUUCAAAACCUUGAUGAAAAACACAUUCAAUGAUGGUAAUAGAGAGGUAUUGUAUGUAAUUAUUAAAUUUGUAUCUUUGUUAUUGUAUUAAUUCGAUGUAUAUAUUUUAUUAUGUUAAUUAUUAUGUUUACUAUCGGUUUCAGAUUAAAUGGAAGAAUGUUGUCCCUUCUCUAAUGGAAAUCGCUGUUCUACAAUUGCCUCCUGAAGGUCUUCACAAAUCAACUGAAGGUGUUCAAACAGAGCCACAUCGUGAUAUUGAUGAACAAGUACUUUCUGGACAGAAUUCAGAUGAUGAUUUUGUCGACCCACCUCCACCUUCAAUGAAGGUUACAGGUAAAAGAAAAAAGGGGCAAUCAGUAUCUCCUGCUAAAACGGUACGGAAAAAUGAUUCAAAUAUGACAGAUCAAAUGGAACAGACUGAAAAGAUCGAUCCAGUAGCGAACCAGAAUGUGGAGAAAGUUGGAAUUAGAAAAGUUGUGCGGAAGAAAAAAAAUUGUGUUUUAAGAAGAAAACCACUCCCACUUGUGUGCCAACAAAGGAUUCCCAAAUACCAUCUAUAAGUGUGUCUCAUGAACAAUUAAUGAGGAACGAACUAUCUGAGUUACGAAAGGAGGUAUAUACUGUUUAUACAUAUGUUAUUUCAAUAUAUUUAUUCAAAUAAUUGCAAUCUGUAAAAUUUAAUCAUAUUGUAAAUGUUUCAGGUUAGAGAGGAGUUUAAAGACAUACGGAAGUUGAUAAAUGAUAAUUUUAAUAUCAUUAUGUCUAUUUUGAAGGACCAAAAAAACAAUGACAAUGCUGGUCAAGGAUCACAACCUUUUACAAGUCCAAUUUUAUCUGAAAAUCAAAACCAGGACAACACAAACAAUCACAAUGCUGCUCAAGGACGACAACAUUUUACAAAAUCAGUUGAUUCAGAAAAUCAAAAUCAGGUAUUCUGAAUCUUAUUUUUAAAAUAAAGAUUACUAUUUUAGUAUUCUGUUUUUCUUACUACAUUUUUGUUUAAGAUACAUUUGUAUUUUUACAUGUCAUUAAUAUUGUAUUUCAAUAUAAUUUUUUUUUGUAUUUAUGUUGACUUCUUUUGUAUCUGCAUGGAAUGAAUGGUCUGUUUUGAUGAUGAGAAGUCGGAGGGCCAUGAAAGCUCAAAUAAUGGCAGCGAGGAAGUUUUUCAAGUAUGUUCAUUAUAAAUUUUGUAUUUUCACAUGGUUUAACGAUAUUUUAUCCAAUCUCCUAUUUUUAAAGGAUCAUUCAAUUUUUGAAAAUUCAAAUCAGGGAGACAUAUCCGAUGUUGCUGAUAAUCAAGUAUGUUUUUUAAGUCUAGAUAUUUAUAUAGUGCAUUUGGGAACAUUGUUAAGAAUUAACAUUUUAAUUUUUUUAAAGGUUGAUUGUGACAAUUCACCUGUGCGUAAUCUGAUCACUGUAGAUGCUGGUUUUAGUUCGUCUAAAUCAAUAAUCCCAAGUGUAUGUUGUUCUACUUAUCUAAACUAAUUACUUUUAUUCUUAUUAGUAUAAUUUGCUUUUGAAUAAUUUUUUUUAUACCUCAGCCAUCAUUUGUAAGGCCACUUGUUUUUGAAAGUCAACAUGACUUUACACAUCAACAUGACAAUGAUGAAGAGGAUCAGUUCAUAUUUCCUACCCCUAUUCAAUCUAUUGUUCCCUUGGAAGGGUCACCACAAUCACAAUUUGAGUUGGAUGAUUCUCUAAUGCCAAGUCUCAGUGACAUAAAAAGUAAUCGUGCUACUGACAAUACCAUUAAUUCAGAACGGAGCAUUAUCAUGCACAAUCAAAACACAAGCAAUGAAAGCUCAAAUAUUCAAAAAAAAGGCUAGCAAGGAUAGUCAGAAUCAAAAAAGUCCUGUUCACACACCAUUACAUGCACAUAGAAUUAGACGUCCAGGACCUUUCAAUACAUCCCCAUAUAUUACAUCAUUCAGCUCAUCUGCAGGUAUAAAGACAUAACAAAUUAUAAUGUAUUGAAAAUCUGAUUUAUAU